rnacentral:rRNA from 1 species
AGUGAACGCUGGCGGUAGGCCUAACACAUGCAAGUCGAACGGCAGCACAGUAAGAGCUUGCUCUUACGGGUGGCGAGUGGCGGACGGGUGAGGAAUACAUCGGAAUCUACUUUUUCGUGGGGGAUAACGUAGGGAAACUUACGCUAAUACCGCAUACGACCUACGGGUGAAAGCAGGGGAUCUUCGGACCUUGCGCGAUUGAAUGAGCCGAUGUCGGAUUAGCUAGUUGGCGGGGUAAAGGCCCACCAAGGCGACGAUCCGUAGCUGGUCUGAGAGGAUGGUCAGCCACACUGGAACUGAGACACGAUCCAGACUCCUACGGGAGGCAGCAGUGGGGAAUAUUGGACAAUGGGCGCAAGCCUGAUCCAGCCAUACCGCGUGGGUGAAGAAGGCCUUCGGGUUGUAAAGCCCUUUUGUUGGGAAAGAAAAGCAGCAGGUUAAUACCCCGCUGUUCUGACGGUACCCAAAGAAUAAGCACCGGCUAACUUCGUG